rnacentral:lncRNA from 1 species
CUGGAGCCAAUUGAGAACAACUUGAACCACUACUGGAGCAACAUCCAUUGUCCGCGCACCGACGGGACGAGCACCUGGAAGAGCGAGUGGCGUAGCUACGGCGUCUGCUCGGGCCUCAAGGAGGUGGACUACUUCAGGGCCGCCCUCAACCUCCGCAAGAACGCCGACGUCCUCGGCGCUCUCGCCGAGCAGGGCAUCAACCCGGACUACAGGCUGUACAGCACGGAGCACAUCAAGUGGGCGGUGAACCAGAAGCUUGGAGUGAUGCCUGGGGUGCAGUGCAGGGACGGGCCGUUCGGUAAGAAGCAGCUCUACCAGAUCUACCUCUGCGUCGACAAGAACGGCGAGGCCUUCAUCGACUGUCCCAAGCUGCCUAAACUGCAGUGCCCUGAGGAGGUCCUCUUCCACCCCUUUCACACGUGGAUGCUCAACGCCACAUCGCCUGCCAAGAUCAUGUUGCCAACCGAGGCCUGAGAGCCACCCGCCCGGCCGGUGCCUCACCUGAGUACGUACUACUGUGGCCUGGAGCAUUAUAUCGUGCUUGUUGCUCCAGUGAAUAAAAAUGGAUGGUUGAAUAAAUAAAAGUGUAUACAUGGUUGGGAGUUGCGACUUGUCAUAAGAACAUGACCGUCAAAUCGCUUCUCUACUAGCUACUAUGUAUAUGCGUAUCUAUAAUAUUUGUAAUACGUAAAGUAUAUGAAUGAACAAUUUUAUUAUGUCAGAUGUUUAAGAAAUUCUUUUAUCUCGAUUCGUUUUGAAAAAAAAAAUUAUGUCUGCUUCUG